AUCUCUGUAGUUUAGUCGGUAGAACUCCCACCUAUGGUGCGGUAGAACUCGGGUUCGAGCCUCGCUGAAGGCA